CUUACUACUUACUGUAAGUCGCUCUGGAUAAGAGCGUCUGCUAAAGGACUAAAA
rfam:Salmo salar isolate Sally breed double haploid chromosome ssa09, whole genome shotgun sequence.